rnacentral:rRNA from 1 species
UACGAAGGGGGCUAGCGGUGUUCGGAAUUACUGGGCGUAAAGCGCGCGUAGGCGGACUGGUCAGUCAGGGGUGAAAUCCCGGGGCUUAACCCCGGAACUGCCUUUGAUACUGCUAGUCUCGAGUCCGGAAGAGGUGAGUGGAAUUCCUAGUGUAGAGGUGAAAUUCGUAGAUAUUAGGAAGAACACCGGUGGCGAAGGCGGCUCACUGGUCCGGUACUGACGCUGAGGCGCGAAAGCGUGGGGAGCAAACAGG